GUAAGCUCACCGACAGGAGCUUAGCUCGGCGCGAGCGCCUUUGGUUUGGCGGCACGCGCCUAAAUAAAAGCGCUUUGUGCUGAUGUGGAGAGGGUGUCUAGUCUUAAAACUAGGGAAGGAGGUGAAGUAAGGGUCCCCUUAUUUGACAGAGAAGGAAAAAGGCGAUUUAGUCCAAGUCCUGGAACUUCGAAAGCUUGGUUUCUAAUUCCACACUACCCAGAUUCUGCUUCCCACCGUACUGCAUCUAGGAAGCAAGAUCAGAAGGACCUUAACAUGCUCUUGUCCAGGUGGUGAAGCCAGUGGGAGGAGUGAAAGCAAAAAGUCGCUAUGACACUGAAGAAAUGGCUCAGAUGUUUGUCAUUAUUUGCCAGAAGUUCUGCCUAGGUAUUGGAGAGAAGGUCUUCUGACCAACGAUUUUGCCAAGUUUGAUUUCUCAAUUGUUUAUGUUGUUUGUACCAUCAUUUUCUCAGCCAGCCAGAUUUGAAAACUACCAUUUUUAAAUUUUUGUUCCUUUGGGGGACUUAUCUGGCUUUUCAAUAUUUUUAAGUU
rnacentral:lncRNA from 1 species